rnacentral:rRNA from 1 species
AGCGAACGCUGGCGGCAGGCUUAACACAUGCAAGUCGAACGCGUGUAGCAAUACACGAGUGGCGCACGGGUGAGUAACGCGUGGGCAUCUGCCUCAUGGUUCGGAAUAACCCCGGGAAACUGGGGCUAAUACCGGAUGGUACCUUCGGGUUAAAGAUUUAUCGCCAUGAGAUGAGCCCGCGUCCGAUUAGCUAGUUGGUGAGGUAACGGCUCACCAAGGCGACGAUCGGUAGCUGGUCUGAGAGGACGAUCAGCCACACUGGGACUGAGACACGGCCCAGACUCCUACGGGAGGCAGCAGUGGGGAAUAUUGGACAAUGGGCGCAAGCCUGAUCCAGCCAUGCCGCGUGAGUGAUGAAGGCCUUCGGGUUGUAAAGCUCUUUUAGCGGGGACGAUGAUGACGGUACCCGCAGAAUAAGCCCCGGCUAACUUCGUGCCAGCAGCCGCGGUAAGACGAAGGGGGCUAGCGUUGCUCGGAAUUACUUGGGCGUAAAGCGCGUGUAGGCGGCUGUUCUAGUUGGGCGUGAAAGCCUUGGGCUUAACCCAAGAAAUGCGCUCAAUACCGGAUAGCUAGAGGAACGGAGAGGAUAGUGGAAU